GGGGUUGUGGCUCAGUGGUAGGGCGCUUGCCUCACAUGUUCGAGACUCUGAGCUCAAUCCUCAGCACCACA
rnacentral:tRNA from 1 species